rnacentral:rRNA from 1 species
UACAGAGGUCUCAAGCGUUGUUCGGAUUCAUUGGGCGUAAAGGGUGCGUAGGUGGCGGGGUAAGUCAGGUGUGAAAUCUCGAGGCUCAACCUCGAAACUGCACUUGAUACUGCCUUGCUCGAGUACUGGAGAGGAGAUUGGAAUUUACGGUGUAGCAGUGAAAUGCGUAGAUAUCGUAAGGAAGACCAGUGGCGAAGGCGAAUCUCUGGGACAGUUACUGACACUGAGGCACGAAGGCCAGGGGAGCAAACGGG